rnacentral:lncRNA from 11 species
CUUACCCUCCCACAAAAUCUUGGGUAAUGUAGUGCAUGGAUAAACCUGACCCAUUUUUUCCUCUUUUCUAGUGUUUCACUGUCCACCUGUGAGACCUACAGAAACAUUUUAAAAUGGCCCUCUUUCCAAGCAUUACCAAAGGCCUGGGCCAGCUUGAAGCCUACAUUGAGGCAGAGGAAGGAGUGGCUUUUCAGAUGGACAAUGACCAGUUCUGGGCCUCGGUCACUGACCAGUACGAAUCAUUCAUUGCGGGGAUAUUUCCAAAGAAGAUGUCCUGCAAGUUCAAGAUCCAUUUACUGUCUUCAGGAAAGGUUAUGCUGGAGGAUUGGGGGGGCAUGUACCUUGCUGUGAAGGAGGUAGAGGAAGAGCCCAAUACCUUUACUGUCAGACCUGUUAUCUACGCAGAAGAUGAAUCCCUCCGGUUUUCUGCCUUUCAUAGUGGCAAUAAGGUAGCCUUUCAGGCCUAUAAUGGCCUCUUCUUGACCAGAGUGUUCAGACAGUUCCAUGUCUUGGAAGCAGUCAAGCUGUUUACAGAUGAGAGCUGCUUGUUCCGGCCCCUGAUCGGAGACCUUUCACCCCCUACCUUGAAAAUGCUGAACAUAAUCCCAAAAGACCUCUCAAAAUUGAAAUUCCACCCCCAGCUUGUGGGGAAAAAUACCUACACCAACUGGGCAAAUGUACCGGUGAAGCACACUUUCACCAUGACCUGGGAAGACCACUGCACUGACAAAAUUAUCUGGGACCGUCUGUGGGGGCUUGGCUUGCCCUGUUUGUGCUCUUUCACUGUCGAGAGAGCAAAGCCCACUGUGGUGUACACCAGGGACAACGACUACCUCCUUUCUGUGGGGAGGGAGAUUUCUGAGAAGGUAACAAAAGAGGUGGAGGUACCGCCCAGAACCAAAGCCGUAGCUCACCUUUUUGUCCAGGUGAAUUUUAAUGCACCUUUGCCUUUCACAGCCGUCAUCCAGAAGACAAAACCUGGUGCACGCGAUGAAACUUUCAAUGAGAAUGGGGCCUGGAUGGGACUUAUUUAUGGGGACCUUUGGGUGGAAUGUUCACUUGAAAAAAUGUUUGGCUUCUGCCCAGUCAUGUGAGGCAAUGGAGAGUGAUGGUAGUGGAGUGGCUUCCCAGUUGGGGACCAAGUUGAUAGUGGUCCAGUCCUGAACUAAUGUGACUGCUAUGCUAGGGCUAUGUGUUGGACUGGCCCAUUUUAGGAUUCAGCUGCUGACUGGUUUUUUUCCAGGUCAAAGCAGGCAAGGGCUAUUCUUGGGAAUGUCUCUGAGACUACAAUACUUCCAUUUUAACCUUUCAGGUGACUGAAAAAAUUGAUGGUUGCCUUUUUAUGUCAAGAGGGAGAGUAGCACAACUGACAGCAUGCAAAUAAAACUUAUUUUAAAAGAAACUCACAUAGAUUCAGUUUGUUUUUUGUAUUGGUGGGAAGCAGAGGGGUGGAGCAUUCCGACUGUUCUAAAUUGCAGGAACUGUGCCAAUUUAUCUUUUAUCCAAUCUUUUCAGUUGUCUUUGAAAUGUCCCAGUUUCUAUCUCAUUCCACUUUUCCCCUUUGUCUUCAGCUUCUUUCAGUUGUUACUAACUUCAGUUGCUGUAAAA